UACUUGGAAAAGGAGUGAAAGAAUAAUGAUUAUUCUUAUUUAAAUCGUAUGAUUUAGAGCUCCGAUUCAAUCCCCGUCUGGAUUAAUCUAUUUGUACCCUCCUCUUCCUCUCCUUCACCAAGCCCGUGAAAACUAACGGCGUUAACAAUUACAGUAAUAGUAGCAGCAGGCCCGUGUUUCAGUUUCCUAAAACCAGGACAUCUUCUUCGGAUGCGGUUCUCAACAGAUUUGGCACAAUUAAACUUAAAAGAUAUCGGAGACGAAUGCGCCUCUUCUGCCCUUCGUGAUGAAUUGAGCAAGGUUUGAUGAGCUAAGAAAACUGGAUAUUGAACAAAGUCUUUGGGAGGAAUCGCGCAAAGUAAAAUGACCAGGAUACUGCUCUUCAUGAUGGUCGGAAGUCUGCUAUGCAAUCCAAACGUUCUACUCGCUAUCUCAGUAUUUGUUAUAGUAGAUAUUUAAUAAUUAGUAGCUACAGUAAAGCUCCCUCUGAUUCACUGAAGUAUCUUUGUUUUUGUUGGUGAUCAGAUUGUAAGUAGGUUUAUUGUUCAACAUGCUAUAGAACAGUAUGAGAUAUGGUGUGCUUUUUUAUUUUUCAUAGUUAGGGGUUAUGCACUUGUGAUUAUAUGGCAAGCCGAGCUGCCAGAGAAAUAAAAUGGAAUCAAAUUUUGGUUA